rnacentral:lncRNA from 1 species
AGACCAACCUGGGCAACAUGGUGAAACUAAAAAUACAAAAAGUAGCUGGGCACGGUGGCGUGCGCCUGUAAUCCCAGCUAGUUGGGAGGCUAAGGCAGGAGAAUUGCUUGAACCUGCGAGGCAGAGGUUGCAGUGAGCCGAGAUUGUACCACUGCACUCCUGCCUGGGCGACAGAGCGAGAACCUGUCUCAAGAAAAAAAAAAGACUGCAUAGUUUUUGAUCAUAUGGAUGGCUCAUAAUUGACUUAGACAAUCCUCUUUUGUUAGAAAGUUAGAUUUGUUGCAAUAAACACCUUUGUACUUAAAUCUUCUGUCACAUCUCUGAUAUUUCCUCUUCAUCCUCCUUUGCCCUCUUUCUUCCCUCAUGUGGCAUUCUGGGAGUAUCUUGGGGGUGGUGUGUGGAGGUUCCCUGGGUGACCCCUGGAGUCCUUCUGUAGACAGUCAUCACCACCAUGACCACCUUGAAGAAGAACCUGGCUGACGAGGAUGCUGUGUCUUGCCUGGUGCUGGGCACCGAGAACAAGGAGCUCCUGGUGCUUGACCCCGAGGCCUUCACCAUUUUAGCCAAGAUGAGCCUUCCCAGCGUCCCCGUCUUCCUAGAGGUUUCUGGCCAGUUUGAUGUUGAGUUCCGGCUUGCCGCGGCCUGCCGCAAUGGAAACAUCUAUAUUCUGAGAAGGUAGCCACAUCCGUGGUCUCCGGGGCCGGGAGGAACAUCUCAGAAAACUGGUGGCUUCAGAGGCUUGCAAGAUGAGAGUGGGCUUUAAGGCUGGAAUUUGGAAAUGCAAAGAGCUGAGAACUUCAUAAAGGAGGCUGAGCCCACAAACACAGGGGAGGAUACCUGGAGGCUUGUGAGAUAGGGGCUGGCACAGUGAGAGACUAGGCUGGGUGGCUAUAGUACAGGAGUGAUCAGAAAUGAGAGGACAGGCUGGGCGCUGUGGCUCACGCCUGUAAUCCCAGCACUUUGGGAGGCCGAGGCAAGCGGAUCACCUGAGGUCAGGAGUUCAAGACCAGCCUGGCCAACAUGGUGAAACCCCGUCUCUACUAAAAAUACAAAAUUAGCUGGGCAUGGUGGCGCAUGCCUCUAGCCCCAGCUACUCGGGAGGCUAAGGUAGGAGAAUCGCUUGAACCCAGGAGGCGGAGGUUGCAGUGAGCCAAGAUCACACCACUGCACUCCAGCCUGGGUAACGGAGCGAGACUCCGUCUC